GAUGAAGAACGUAGCGAAAUGCGAUAAGUAAUGUGAAUUGCAGAAUUCAGUGAAUCAUCGAAUCUUUGAACGCACAUUGCGCCCAUUAGUAUUCUAGUGGGCAUGCCUGUUCGUGCGUCAUUAAGUCCACUUAAGCCCUGCUUAGUGUUGGGAGACUGCUCCAGCGGUGCUACCCUGUAGCUACCCUGCAGCUCCUCAAAGACAGCGGCGGAGUUGUGGUAUCCUCUGAGCUUAGUAACUUGUUCUAGCUUUCGAGUACACCACUUCCCCUGCCGUAAAACCCUUAAUUUUUAAUGGUUGACCUCGGAUCAGGUAGGAAUACCCGCUGAACUUAAGCAUAUCAAUAAGCGGAGGA
rnacentral:misc_RNA from 1 species